rnacentral:rRNA from 1 species
GACGAACGCUGGCGGCGUGCUUAACACAUGCAAGUCGAACGGAAAGGCCCUGCUUUUGUGGGGUGCUCGAGUGGCGAACGGGUGAGUAACACGUGAGUAACCUGCCCUUGACUUUGGGAUAACUUCAGGAAACUGGGGCUAAUACCGGAUAGGAGCUCCUGCUGCAUGGUGGGGGUUGGAAAGUUUCGGCGGUUGGGGAUGGACUCGCGGCUUAUCAGCUUGUUGGUGGGGUAGUGGCUUACCAAGGCUUUGACGGGUAGCCGGCCUGAGAGGGUGACUGGCCACAUUGGGACUGAGAUACGGCCCAGACUCCUACGGGAGGCAGCAGUGGGGAAUAUUGCACAAUGGGCGGAAGCCUGAUGCAGCAACGCCGCGUGCGGGAUGACGGCCUUCGGGUUGUAAAGCUCUUUUACCCGGGAUGAUAAUGACAGUACCGGGAGAAUAAGCUCCGGCUAACUCCGUG